GUGACUUCAAACUGAGAUUCAAGCCGUGAUCAAUAAAAAAUAUAUUAACUAUAACUAUAGUCUCUCUCAAUAUUUAUUUUUACAUUUUAAUAUUUUUAUAUAAAUGAGGCUUUAUUCAAUUAAAAAUGCAGAAGUGUAUAUAUUAACCAAACAACAACAAUAACAAAAAAAUCUCAGAUUUUAUUUUGAUUGAACUUACAUUUUUAUUUGACUUUGAUUUGAUCUACAUUUGAGUUUAUGUCGAUGUCCUUCUAAUUUCCUCUUAUAUUUUUGCUUUGAUUUUGUGUUUAUUUAUUAUGCUUUCUGUAGUUAUUCAUCUUGGGGUGUUUAUCUUUAAUCCAUAGCCAGGGUGUCCUCAGUGAAACUGUCCUACAGCUACUUGUUCUCUGACGUCAGGAAAGUGUUCUGUUCUGCUGAUGGAGACAACCUGCACUUCAGCUGGACUUCUGAAUCAAUCACUCGGUUGGAGGACGACAACAAAACUCUCGUACUGGAUAAAAUGCAUAAUGAAAAAGUAACCUGUCAUGUCAAAAAUCAUGUCAAUCGAGACUACAAUUCAAUUGAACUGCCAAAGUUUACCAGUCUCACUGUGUUUGUGUUUUUGUGGGUCUUUGAAGUCAUCAUCCUGAUGUCUGCAUUAGUGGGCACACUGUACAUUUACCCCAGAAUCUACAGAAAAAUGAGGACACCAGAGAGACCAGGAAGCUCUGUAACCCUUGACAAGGAUUAGAAGAGGCAGUCUGUGGCUGAUCUCCUCUAGUCGAGCAGCCAUUGUUCUCCGUCUCAUCCAGACUAAAACCUGAUAAAACUGUAACCAUUACCAUAACAGUGUUACAGUGCUAUCUGCUUACCGACCUUGCUAUUGCUAUCUGUUUUGCAUUGUUUGCUCUGUGUUUUAAAAAAUUAAAUCAUCCUCAUGAUUUCUGCAAUUUCCUUUGAAACUGAGUGCUAAUUUUAUUUGUUUUACUUAUAAUAUUUAAACACCACUGUAAUGAUGUGAUGCUACAGUAGCAACAAUUUAAUAAAAUAUUAAAUAUUUUUGAAAUGUAAAUCUAAUUUCUAAGUCCUAUGUCUAAAUGUGUGAAUGCUGAAUUAAAAUCUGUUUUAGUUAUUAUUAAUGAU